rnacentral:rRNA from 1 species
CGGCGGACGGGUGAGUAACGCGUGGGUAACCUGCCUCAUACAGGGGGAUAACAGUUGGAAACGACUGCUAAUACCGCAUAAGCGCACAGUACCGCAUGGUACAGUGUGGAAAACUCCGGUGGUAUGAGAUGGACCCGCGUCUGAUUAGCUAGUUGGUGGGGUAACGGCCUACCAAGGCGACGAUCAGUAGCCGACCUGAGAGGGUGACCGGCCACAUUGGGACUGAGACACGGCCCAA